AUACGUAGGUGACAAGCGUUAUCCGGAUUUACUGGGCGUAAAGGGCGUGUAGGCGGUCUUGCAAGUCAGAAGUGAAAUUCCUGAGCUCAACUCGGGCGCUGCUUCUGAAACUGCAGGGCUUGAGUGCUGGAGGGGAUAGCGGAAUUCCUAGUGGAGCGGUAAAAUGCGCAGAUAUUAGGAAGAACACCGGUGGCGAAGGCGGCUAGCUGGACAGUAACUGACGCUGAGGCGCGAAAGCGUGGGGAGCAAACAGGAUUAGAUACCCGGGUAGUCCACGCCGUAAACGAUGAAUACUAGGUGUAGGGGGUAUCGACUCCCUCUGUGCCGCAGUUAACACAAUAAGUAUUCCGCCUGGGGAGUACGGCCGCAAGGUUGAAACUCAAAUGAAUUGACGGGG
rnacentral:rRNA from 1 species